rnacentral:rRNA from 1 species
UACGUGGAGGGCAAGCGUUGUCCGGAUUUAUUGGGCGUAAAGAGCGUGUAGGCGGCUGGGUAGGUCCGUUGUGAAAACUCGAGGCUCAACCUCGAGACGCCGAUGGAAACCCUCCAGCUAGAGUCCGGAAGAGGAGAGUGGAAUUCCCAGUGUAGCGGUGAAAUGCGUAGAUAUUGGGAGGAACACCAGUGGCGAAGGCGGCUCACUGGACCGGAACUGACGCUGAGGCGCGAAAGCGUGGGGAGCAAACGGG